rnacentral:rRNA from 1 species
UAAGCCUGCGAAGGUGGCCUGUGAGGGUUGCUGGAGGUAUCAGAAGUGCGAAUGCUGACAUAAGUAACGAUAAAGCGGGUGAAAAGCCCGCUCGCCGGAAGACCAAGGGUUCCUGUCCAACGUUAAUCGGGGCAGGGUGAGUCGACCCCUAAGGCGAGGCCGAAAGGCGUAGUCGAUGGGAAACGGGUUAAUAUUCCCGUACUUGGUGUUACUGCGAAGGGGGGACGGAGAAGGCUAUGUUGGCCGGGCGACGGUUGUCCCGGUUUAAGCGUGUAGGCUGGUUUUCCAGGCAAAUCCGGAAAAUCAAGGCUGAGGCGUGACGACGAGGCACUACGGUGCUGAAGCAACAAAUGCCCUGCUUCCAGGAAAAGCCUCUAAGCAUCAGGUAACAUCAAAUCGUACCCCAAACCGACACAGGUGGUCAGGUAGAGAAUACCAAGGCGCUUGAGAGAACUCGGGUGAAGGAACUAGGCAAAAUGGUGCCGUAACUUCGGGAGAAGGCAC